UACGUAGGGGGGCUAGCGUUGUCCGGAAUCAUUGGGCGUAAAGAGCGUGUAGGCGGCCCGGUAAGUCCGCUGUGAAAGUCGGGGGCUCAACCCUCGAAAGCCGGUGGAUACUGCCGGGCUAGAGUGCGGAAGAGGCGAGUGGAAUUCCUGGUGUAGCGGUGAAAUGCGCAGAUAUCAGGAAGAACACCAAUGGCGAAGGCAGCUCUCUGGGACGGUACUGACGCUGAGACGCGAAAAGCGUGGGGAGCGAACAGG
rnacentral:rRNA from 1 species